UGACACUCAAGGCUGUGGCCCCGCAGCGGAGGAAGCUGUGGUGGCGUUGGCGGCGUUAGUGGCGGUGGCGGAGGCUGAGCCAGCGCGAGCAGUGGCCGAGCUGGCAGCUGAAUUGCAACCGAAAAAUCUCCAGAGAGAGAAUUCUGAUCCUGAAGAAACUGCUGUUGGAUAAAUGUAAGCAAGGAGUGGAGCCAAGGUUUGCCUGAGGAGCCCUGCAGAGAACGGAAAUUCUACAAAGGAUAGAUGGUCAGUUUUGAGUCCCACUGAAUGAGGUCGCCCUAAUAGAUGGAAGCGGGCACACAAGCCCCAGGACCCAAAAUCCUUCAGGUUCUCUCCGUCUUCUUCCACCAUCCUGGAGCCUGGUGCAAUCCAAAACAAGCUCCCAGUGGAGACUCAAGAAGGGACUCUUGUCUUGAUGUUAUGCAAGCAUGAAGACAAAGUCUAGAAGAGGGAAGAAGCAUAAGAGGGACCCAGAUUCUCUCCCUCCACUCUUCAUGUUUUGAAGAUAAUUAUUAUAAAGUUAAGUUGCAGAGAUGGACUUCUUUUUCCUGACUAUAAAUGCAUCACAGUUCAAACCAUGCCCGUUAAAUCCCUAAGCAGUCCAUUUAAAUGAAUUUGAGGGACUCACAGAAACCUAAUGCUGCCCAUAAAAUUGCAGAAAAAAUUAGAGUGCUUUUUUGUUGUUGUGGUAGAGUUGACCAUUUUUAAUUUCCAGACUUUGGAGUAAAUAUAAGUGCUUCAACUCCCAUCAUUUUCUCAUAUACAAAUGUAUAAAUACUCCAUUAAUAUGGUAUAGUGAUUCAUUUAUUUUAAACAACAUGAUGAGAGAUUAGAUCUUGUGUGACUCUUUUCUUUUUCAGAUGACAAAAUAUCCCAAUGAAGACAAAUUUUAUAGAGCCAAGCCUUGUCUGUCUAUCCUCUUCCAGAUUAUUAAGAGCCAUUAUUAUCCAGGAGAAGCAAUAUAACUGUUCCACCAAUGAGUAACUUAUGUCCCCUAGACUGCAUUCUUUGUUCAGGGCCAUUGCUGAUGCAGAUUUUUUUCUGUUGAAAAUGUUCACUUUAAACAUCACAAAUCUAUGCCCAGAAUACUCUUCCUCAGUCAUCCUUUAAAUUGAAAGAUAAAAAGUCAGUGAGUCAAAGGAGUUCUUGAAAAGAAGGGAAAACUGUUUCUAAAGACUAUUCAUUCUAAGAGGGCUUUGCAUACUCACCUCUCAGGUGUGAGCAGCAGCUUCCCAUAUCUAGUACAGACAGCAAAUUUUGAUGGCCAAAAUUUGAAUAGCCAUUAGUUCCUGAGAUAAAUUUACUUUUAAUAGUAGUUAGGAACAUUGCCUUCUUAAGUUUUAUUAUUAUCUCUUUACUCACUGUUACCAGACACUGGGAUAAUUUAGCAUUCCAUAAAACAAUAUGAACAGAGGGUUUGGGAAAAUUGGGGCAUGAAAACAUACGAUGUGGUGUCAACUGUAGGCAAUGUUGAUCAUUUGUGUUUAUUUGGAUUCAUCUGUCCAUGUACAUUUGGCCUAUAAAGCCAACUGUUAUUCUGCAGAGUCUCUACUCAUAUUGCUGCUGUCACAGUUCAUGGUUAUCUUGCCUCAUGUCCAUUCUUUUUCCACCUUUGUAAGGAUUUCAUGUUGAUGUUGGAGCAUGACCUCUCACACUGUCGUCAUGGUUCUCUUAUUCGUGUGUAACCAUGAUACACAGGGCAAUUAAUUUUCAGUGUACUGAAGUGUUGGUUAAGGGAAGACAGGGGAUAUUGAUAAAUUCUUUAUCUUUUAUCAAUAAAGGGCAUUUAGUCUGAUUUUCUCAGUUUCUUUAAUGUGAUGAUAAAUGGAUGAAAAGUACACACAUACACACACACACACACACACACACACACACACACACACACACCAAUAAGUAUUGGCCAAAAUUACAACAAUCCUAUAUUGACUUGUUUCCUCUCUUCCUCCCUAGUUUCCUGACUCCUAAAUGAAUAGAAGUUAAUCAAAUAAUUAAACAGUGCUACUGAAGUCUUUGCCCUCACGAUUCUUCUCUGAAGACUAGGAAAGCAUCCCCAUUACCUUCUUUACCCACCACCACCCAUGCUCAACCACUCCUUCCUCCCAAUACUACCCCUCCUACAUUGAUGUCUUUGUGUGUGUGUGUACAGCUCUGUACAGAUAGCCACAGCUACUGUACAAUUACAUAAUUAUAUCAGCCCAUGUCACAGUCAAAAGUCAGCACACAUAGUACUCCUUCCCAUCAUUCAGCUCUUACAGUCUUUCUACACCCUUUGCCAUGCUGGUCUCUGGGCCUCGAAGGUGAAGAUAGUGAUAACAUACUUAGGGUCUAACACCAAAUAAUAACUUAUUUUUGAUGUUUUGACUUUUAUGACUGUCUCUAUUAGCCUUUACCCAUUUAAAAACUAGCUUCUCUGGCCAAGGUUGAGAGCAAUCUGAAGGCAUGAACAUUUUCAGGAGAUAGUUUGCAAUGUGUCAUUUAUCAUAAAAUCAUUAGUAGUGCCCCCUUAGGGCCUGUGACUUCCUCUGCUAUAGAUUUUUUUGCCAGGUUUCCAGUACCGGGUAUUUAUUCCUUCCAAUGAAGGUCUCAAAUCCAAUUAGAAACUAUUUGGCUACUGUCAAAACAAUCAGGCACUAUGGACCCCAUGGCCAGAGCUUGCCUAAGGUCAGUAGUAUGAAGGGUAAAGCCAGAAUUUAUUUGAAACUUCCAUGCCGUUGCUUAUCUUAGCCACAAAAUAAUAACACUGAUGUAAUCUAAGACAAGUGUGUCUCAGUAUAACUCUUCUCUUAAUUUUUCAAAUACCUCCUUUCAUUGCCUGUAGUCAAUGGCAGGAGUCAUGUCUCAGAACAUCCUGAUGAUGGUGGUGUAAUUUGAUUCUAUAAGGAAAUAGCCCAUGCACCAGAGGAAUUUACAGACCUGGCUAAUAGCUAAUAAUGGAACUCAAGAAGAAAAUAAGAAUAAAAGUACUUAAAGGUCAAAAAAGAGGUGAAAUAUAAGAUGAAUAUGAGAAAACUGACUGACUUGGGGAACUCAUUUGUACCUCAUUAUUAGAUGAUCUGGAAAUGACACUAAAUUCUUUCUCUCAUACUACUUUGUUGAGGUAGAUCCUUAGAACUGGAAUAUAACAAACUCAAUAAAAAAUCUCUGACUCCUCAAAAUGGUAUCAAGAAAGAAGUCAAAAGUAUCAGAAAGAUAGAAAUGUCAAAAUGAACUUAAUGUGUAAGAUUUAAGCACUCACAGCCUGAUACAGGCAUGUAAUAGAAAACCAAAACCAACAAGCUAAACAACAACAAAAACUAAUAAAAUAAAGAAAAGGAGAGAGAAUAACAAGGCAAGGGGAAAGGCAAGAAGAAAAGGAAGAAAGCAGAGGAGCCACAUGUAUGCUCUAGGAGGAACUGAGGAGUAGUUCACUAAUUUAAGAAGCUUGGUUCACUCUGGGUGUGCCUUAUGGGCUGCGGGUGAUGAUAGAGUUAAUGUUAUCAAGUUAGGCUUCUUACUAUCAAUAGAUGAUGGUAUAAUUGAAAGCGGAUGAAGCCAAGACAAUGACAACAAUGACUUGGUAUCAAGCUGUCGUGACCUUCAAGAAUCUCUGACCCUAGCUAGUAGGACCUGCUAUUCUCAGACAUGGGGUAGAUGUGACGCUGACCAAGAAGAGGAGAGAGAAAGAUGAGAAGCACAGAAAUGUGUUACAAACUGCACAUAUAAGAAAAUCUAAUUUUCAAUUCAAUCUCCACACUUCACGUCUCAAAAUCCAUAGCACUGUCACCUUGACAAAUGUAUGGAACGCCACAUGAAGUAUACACAAUAGAUAUCCCCCUGACUGUUUUUCACAAAGACCCGAGUAACUAAACACUGGAGAAUGGAAAAACACAGACAUUUCUAGGACAAUUUAGAUGAAAGACACCAGUGUCAUGGUAUUCAAAACAUCAUCGUGGUUCUCUAGCUAAGUGAGAGGAUAGGUGCAGUGUGGCCCAAGUCCAUUUCACAUUGCAUCCAAGUGUAUUAAUAAUCUACCUGUUGUUAUUUUUUUGGUUCCCAUGUGAAUGACUGAAAAAGAAAUAGUUAUCAGCAGGGAGAACCCACAUCGUAUGUAUGGCCUGAGGAAUAAAAGCCACUAAGGAAUCAAGAGCCAAGUGGAAGAUGCAGAAAUCACACUCCUAACUUAAGGAAAUUAUAAAUCAGACACAAGUCUGCAUCAUAAAAUAUGAUGAUUAGUGCCAUUAGUAGCAUUAAAUAUUUAAAGGAUAUAGAGUUGUUGGUCAACAUUACAUUCCCAUUCAAUUCACUAAGUUUUACUCUGUAAAAUGUAUUAUAUUAUAUAGCCAAUUACAGUACAUUAAUGUGAAUUUGUUGAAGAGGCAGUUCUAGUCACAGAUUCACAGCUACUGUCUGUUAUCAUCUGCUACAAAACCUGUUAUUGGGGUUAUCACUUUGUUAAAUACCAGUGGAUUAGCACAGACGUUGGCCUUUCCUAUAGGACUACUGACCUUGCAGGUACUCUCUUUACCUAAUUCUUAUCAGUAAUGAGGGCCCAGUUUAGCUUUUAUUCAUAAGAUGGCAUCUGCAGUACUCAUGACUCUUCAAGGAUAUGCUAAUGGAACUGUUCUUUGUUGUGGCAGAGGGUAUAAAGAAGCUGAUCAUUGUGACAAUCCAUAGACUAUAAAAGUACACCAGUAGUCAUGAUAGUUGACUUUAUGAACAGGAAAUGGGAAUUAUAGUAAAUAUUAUAGUGCAACAAGUAUCAGAAGUUUGGUGAUAAACCUCAUCACCUCAAGAGCAUUCUGACUUUUGGAAUUCCAAGCCUCAGGUAUUCAAGCCUUUGAAUUUUGAGAUUCAGUAUAACUAAUGAAUAUAGGGAGUACUGUAGUGAAAAAGUUACUGUGAGUCUCCAAGAAGUUCCUUGGGUUUCUGAGGAAGAGAAUAAAUCUCUGUAAAAGAAAAGUCUCAUUUGAACAAACAGUUCUGCCAUGAUAUGUAGUCCUACAAGCUGGUGACCGACCAUAACAUGCUAAGUGACUGUGCCACUGCAUUUCCUUCCUGUGUUGUAUUUUCAGAGUCAUUGUUCCAUACUUAAAUCACGAGCUGUUUUAUCCCACAGCUGCCACACCAGGGAGAAGAAACAAAGGACUUACAUAUUGAGAAGGGAAGGUCUGAGCCUCUAUUGCUUAAGCAAGCCAUUCAGACCAUCUCAAGAUCAUCACUUAUCCGUUUAAAAAUCUACCCUUCAACAAAUGCUCAAAUUCUCUCUCUCUCUCUCCCCAUCUCUCUCUCUCCCUAUCUCUUAUGCUCUAAUAUACAAAACUGAGUUGAAUAUUUUGCAUGUAUUUUCAGUAUAUAAUAUAUUUUUCAAUAUAUAAUAUUUUAAUACAUAAUAUGUUUAAUUUUCCUUUUCUUUCUAUAAAAUUAUUUUUCCUUGCAUGCUCAUCUAAUUCCCAUUUACACACACACACACACACACACACACACACACACACACACACAUAUAUAUAUAUAUAUGGAGUUACACUCUGAUAUUUACUGUAUGUGCUUUCCUUUGACUGUUAAUCAUUUCUUCUGAUGAGUAUAUUGAAUUCUUAAUUAAGAAUAAAAAAACAUAUAAGCAUGUAUUUAAAAGUACAACCUGCUAUAUAUUUUAAAUAUUUUUGUCCAUUUUCUUCUCCAUAACAUCUCAAAAGUCUUAUCUGACAGCUCCAAUAUAUAGACCAUCUGUAUUUCUAUUAACUAUUUUUAAACACUUGACUGUGCUCACAUUUUCCUGUCCCUUUGCAUAUCUGGAUAUUGUGGAUAACUUGUAUGAAAGUUGUAAGUUUUGAUGAAUGGCUCAAAAUAUGAGGUUUAUUCUGAGGCAAAUGAAUUGCUGUGGAUCAUGUAGAUUUUGUUGGGUGUUUGUAUUUCCACUCUGACAUUUGGUCAUUGUAGAGCAGGGUCCAAUGCACUCUGUUCCUCAUAGUGUCAUUGUGUACUUGAGCAGCUUAAAACUAGACCAACAACUUGGGGAAACGAUUGUGUAGAUACUAGUGACUUCUUGUGCUGCCUUCCUCUCUACCGUAUUUCCUCUCUCACACGUUCACUAUUUCAGCAUUUCUAUAUUCAAAUUUAUCUUUCCUCUGUCAAGGAAGGCUUCUUCUAUUUUUUAUGUUCUCUUGCCUUAUACUGCAGACCAUGAAAAAGUGAGAGCGCGAGUGAGUGUGGAGCUCAUCUGACCCCCUUCUCCUCCCCUUAAGUUGUGGGCUUCCACUGGUUGUCAUCCAAUGCCUGUGAAUAGUUGCAUUAUGUAUAUUAAUCAGCAUUUCUGUUUAAAAAUCAUAGCAGAGUAAUUCUCAUCCCACCUUUCCAAUUUUCGCAUUUGAGAACAGUCUGUAUGUGUUUCCUUGGGUGUGAUUACUGUCUUAUGUUUUGUUAACUUAAUCAGUGGCAUUGAUUAUGUCAAUAUUGGUUUCUUACAUUUUAUGGUCAGCAUUCAUUGUAUAUUUUCAUAUUAUCUUUCUUUUAUAUUCAGCUAAUUUGUUUAUUUCUCCUGCUAUUACUCUAUUAUAAAGAAGAACCAUAUAUAAUCUACUUAUGUAUUAGUAUUCAGUGUCAGAAACAUUGCAGUUCCUUACUUCAAUAAACGACACCAUGGUCAGUA